rnacentral:lncRNA from 1 species
GGAUGUUUAAUGCAGAGAAUACAGAAUGAGAUCAUCGCUGAUCAUGACAACGUAUUAUACCUUUACUAAUUGUAGUCAUUCACAAACUAUGAACAUUCAAUUAAAUUGUAAGAUUUUCUCUAAAUCCUAAAACCAUCAACCAAGGGGAUCAAGGUCAAGGAUUUCUGUCCAUGUUCAUGUGUGCAGUUGGUAAUGAGGUCAUGUUAUGUGUUGUAUGUAAAAGUGUUGUAUGUAAAACCGAAGUACAUUUAGACAUAAAACAUCACUAAAACCAUUAUUUAUUUACACAAGCACAUAUAAGACCACACAUCAAGAUGUACAAUUCAGUCAUCAUAAUAUCAAACUAAACAUUGCUUUUUGGGUUUAAUAGACAAAGUCUAUAUGUUAGACCAAACACAUGUAGCUCAUUGUUUGAAUAAGUUAAUUCCUAAUAGGAACCAUGUACAGCACAAGCUGGUGUUUACUUUUUUGCCUAACGACUCAUUUUGAAUUUAAUUCCACUGCUCUAUUGAACGCUACAUACAUUUAGUGUGAAUCUGCUAUCAUCGAAGUUGUUUGUGUUACGUCAAAACGAGGGGCGUCGUACAAAACAAAUUCAUCAGCGAUUGGAUUGUCUCUAACAAAUCUCUAACAAAUCUAACCAGUCAGAGUAUCAAAGUUGAUAUCGUCAUCAUGUAGGCCGGCUCUGGCCCAACCCAUCGUUUAAUGAGAUCACAAACCCAUCGGUUUUGAGAUCAAUCAGAACAGUCGGAAUGUGUUCGCAUUCCAGAAGUUGUCGAGGAGGGAGGCAAAUCCUGACUCAUCAUGGAGAAGAAACGUUUGUGGGCAUAACAUGUGGCCGGAGCGAUGUAGAUGGGUAGCCAGGUAUAUACCGUGGUUUAUGCACAUUGGUAGCCAGGUAUAUACCGUGGUUUAUGCACAUUGGUAGCCAGGUAUAUACCGUGGUUUAUGCACAUUGGUAGCCAGGCAUGUUUACUCCGGUCUCUGCUCUUGAUUUGUAAGCAGUCCCCUAUCACUCAAAGGUGUAGAAUAUGUAGAAAUCAAAAAGAGUGCCGUCAUUAUUUUCCCCCAACAUUUUAUGUUACUUAAAUGUAAUAUUUGAACCAAUUCAUAGAGCAGAAAAGAGCUUGAGUGAAAGGCAACAUGCAGUUGACAAGACCCUAUAAGAAUUGAGUUUGUAGUUGAUUGGCUUUAUAUAGCACUUUUCUACAGGUACUCAAAGCACUACAUAGUAAGGGAGAAACUCACAUCAUCCACCACCAAUGUGUAGCACCCACCUGGGUGAUGCACUGGAACCAUUUUGUGCAAGAACACUCACCACACAUCAGCUGGAAAGGUGAGGUUUGAUUUAUGCCAAUUAGGGGAAUGAUUAGGUGGCCAUGAUGGAAUGGGGCCUACUCUUACAAUAAGUGCCAUGGGAUUUUUUAAUGACCACAGAGUCAGGAUACCCAUUUAACAUCCCAUCUGAAAGACAGCACCCUACACAGGGCAAUGUCCCCUUCACUGGCCUGGGGCUUUGGGAUUUCUGUUAGACCAGAGUGCCCCCUACUGGCCCUCCAACACCACUACCAGCAGCAUCUAAUCACCCAUCCAAGGACCAACCAAAACUGACCAUGUUUAGCGUCAGAGGUAAGCCAGCAGUGGAAUGCAGGGUGGUAUGCUGCUGGUAUGAGUUUGUAACCUGAAAAGUUUACAAUUUGGUCUCAUUUUUUUCAUCUAAAUGUUUCCCAUUGGAACAUUUAUUCAACCCAUUGCUCAGUUUAUUUAUUUGUUGUAAGAAAAUGCAUAUCACUUCAUGUUAAAACAAAUUUACAGUUAAAAAAGGAAAAAAAAGUGUGAUAUACUGCCUAUACAUAUGUGAAUUUU